rnacentral:rRNA from 1 species
CCUACGGGAGGCAGCAGUGAGGAAUAUUGGUCAAUGGGCGUGAGCCUGAACCAGCCAAGUAGCGUGAAGGAUGACUGCCCUACGGGUUGUAAACUUCUUUUAUACAGGAAUAAAGUGCGGCACGUGUGCUGUUUUGUAUGUACCUCAUGAAUAAGGACCGGCUAAUUCCGUGCCAGCAGCCGCGGUAAUACGGAGGAUCCGGGCGUUAUCCGGAUUUAUUGGGUUUAAAGGGAGCGUAGGCAGGAUGUUAAGCCAGCCGUGAAAGUUCGCGGCUCAACCGUGGAAUUGCAGUUGAUACUGGCAGUCUUGAGUGCGCUGAAGGUAUGCGGAAUUCGUGGUGUAGCGGUGAAAUGCUUAGAUAUCACGAAGAACUCCGAUUGCGAAGGCAGCUUACGAAACUGCUACUGACGUUGAUGCUCGAAGGUGUGGGUAUCGAACAGGAUUAGAUACCCUUGUAGUC